CAGAGUUGAUCAUGGCUCAGGAUGAACGCUGGCGGCGUGCUUAACACAUGCAAGUCGAACGAGAGAAGAUCGGUGCUUGCACUGAUCCGAUCGAGUGGCGGACGGGUGAGUAACGCGUGGGUAACCUGCCUCAUACAGGGGAAUAACAGUUGGAAACGGCUGCUAAAGCCGCAUAAGCGCACAGUAUCGCAUGAUACAGUGUGAAAAACUCCGGUGGUAUGAGAUGGACCCGCGUCUGAUUAGCUAGUUGGUGAGGUAACGGCCCACCAAGGCAACGAUCAGUAGCCGGCCUGAGAGGGUGAACGGCCACAUUGGGACUGAGACACGGCCCAAACUCCUACGGGAGCA
rnacentral:rRNA from 1 species